GUCCCGUGCGUCCCCGGACGUUGCUCUCUGCCCCGGGAACGUCGAGACUGGAGCGCCCGAGCUGAGCCACCUUCGCCGACCCCGAGCGCCGCAGCUCCACUCACCGCGGAGGCGCCCGGACGCGUAAACCUGGUGAUUGCUGUCGGAGCAGGGAUGUUGGGGCUGCACAGCACAGGAACUCGACACCUGGAGGAAAGCCAGCCUGGUCCCAGCUCUUCUCAGCCUCCAGGCACUGCCCCUCACCACUCUGGGUAGGGGUCUGUUCAGGAUUCCAGAACAUUGGACAAGGUGCUCAGGCCCAUCUGGCUUCCACAGCAGCUUGUGCAGGUGAGGACAGAUCCAAGGUCCAGGCCUUUGGAAGCCAGGCCCAGGCUUGGCAACUUUUACUCCAUCCCUCUCUUCUCCCUCUC
rnacentral:lncRNA from 1 species